UAGGGAAUCUUCCGCAAUGGGCGAAAGCCUGACGGAGCAACGCCGCGUGAGUGAUGAAGGUCUUCGGAUCGUAAAACUCUGUUAUUAGGGAAGAACAAAUGUGUAAGUAACUAUGCACGUCUUGACGGUACCUAAUCAGAAAGCCACGGCUAACUACGUGCCAGCAGCCGCGGUAAUACGUAGGUGGCAAGCGUUAUCCGGAAUUAUUGGGCGUAAAGCGCGCGUAGGCGGUUUUUUAAGUCUGAUGGGAAAGCCCACGGCUCAACCGUGGAGGGUCAUUGGAAACUGGAAAACUGGAGUGCAGAAGAGGAAAGUGGAAUUCCAUGUGUAGCGGUGAAAUGCGCAGAGAUAUGGAGGAACACCAGUGGCGAAGGCGACUUUCUGGUCUGUAACUGACGCUGAUGUGCGAGAGCGUGGGGAUCAAACAGG
rnacentral:rRNA from 1 species